rnacentral:rRNA from 1 species
GAACGCUGGCGGCAUGCCUAACACAUGCAAGUCGAACGAGACCUUCGGGUCUAGUGGCGCACGGGUGCGUAACGCGUGGGAACCUGCCCUUAGGUUCGGAAUAACUCCCCUAAAGGGGUGCUAAUACCGGAUAAUGUCUUCGGACCAAAGAUUUAUCGCCUUUGGAUGGGCCCGCGUUGGAUUAGCUAGUUGGUAGGGUAAAAGCCUACCAAGGCGACGAUCCAUAGCUGGUCUGUGAGGAUGAUCAGCCACACUGGGACUGAGACACGGCCCAGACUCCUACGGGAGGCAGCAGUGGGUAAUAUUGGACAAUGGGGGAAGGCAUGAAGCAGCAAGGCCGGGUGAGCGAUGAAGGCAUUAGGGUUGUAAAGCUCAUUUACCCGGGAUGAUAAUGACAGUACCGGGAGAAUAAGCCCCGGCUAACUCCGUG